UUCAAUAUUGCUGUCCAAGGCCCUAAGUCAUGUAACUGUACUUGCCUUUGUAAUCUCUGUAACUGCAUUUGCCUUUGUAACCUCUGUAACUGUAUUUGCCUUUGUAACCUCUGUAACUGUAUUUGCCUUUGUAACCUCUGUAAAUGUAUUUGCCUUUGUAACCUCUGUAAAUGUAUACAUGUACUUGCUUGACUGUUGGAGGUUUGUAUAUUUCAGUAUAUAGCUCACCAUCACUGCUGUCUAUAAUGUCCACCCCUUUAUUGUUUGCAUGACCAUCAGUAUGUCCGUCUUUAUCUGCAUGUGCCUUUUUGGAUUAAGUUUAGUGCUUGUGAUUAGCUGGGAUGCUGGCCAUUCAUUUGUUUAUGUAACUUACUGGUGUUUAAUCUGGGUGUACUGUGUAAAAGCUCUUAUGGCCAGUGUAGCUGGUGGAGGUGUAGGUACAAGAGGUGUACUCUUCACACAAGCUAUUGACUGACUGGUAAGAUCAGUCAAUCAAAUGGGUAAGUCUUCAGUACGGUGUUGGAACUCUGGCCUCCUGGAUGGUGGGGUUGAAGGCGGCGUCCUAAGUCCAGUGUUUAACAAGUAUGGAGAUGUUGGAUCGUGGUCGAGACCUGAGAUGUUAGACACCUUGUCAAGGAUGGCUGGCACAGGACAACUAAGGAGAAAAAUAAGUAAUCCAAGUUAUCUCUUGUUGUAUAAAAAAACUAACAGGACUUAUUCAUGUUUAAGUACUGCCCCCCCCAGGACCCAGAACCACCACUGCUGGCAGUCUCCAGUUUCCAUUUUAAGAUAUGCUUGGGUAGGAGCCCCCUCACUAACACUGAAGAUGUAUGCAGAGUCCACAUCGGAUUACACCUCUCAGGGCAGUGGUGUUUCUGGUUCCCAUUCACACAGCAGACCAAGUUCAAAAAUGUCCUGGGACUGGACCCCAGUGAGCUGAAGUCAGCUAAAUCUGUUGGACUGGACCUUGUCAUCCAAACACAUGUACAGGAUGACCAACAUGAACGGCAGAAGCAGACUCCUCCAUCAAGAGCUCCAUUUAAGAAGUCAGGAUGCAACAGACCUGAGACUGAAGAAGCUGCGUCCUAGUCACGUCAUGGCUACAGUCAAGAUAUUUCAAACCUGGCUGCUACUUACUGGUUGUCUUGAGAUAUGCCCCCCAAGGACCCUGGCCCACCACAGCUGAGGAGACAGAUCCCUGCUUGGCUGUUUUUUAUUUUUGUUUGUUUGUUUUUUUUAAUAAGGCUUGACCGUUUACAAUCAGCAUGAUGUUUCAUAGAUAUUCUACGAUCUGGCCUCUGUUCAGUGAUGACUUAAACUACAUGCUUGAUCCCAUGUUGCUUUAGUUUACAGUCAGUCAGUUUAAGAGUUUAAUGAUCUGGAUUCCUUUUACUUCACUCACUACUAACUUAACAUUUCCUAACCUAACACUUCCUAACUCCUUCUAACCUAUUCUAAUCUGAUUUUUUCUUGGGGCUUAAAUCCAGUCAUGAACUCUUACUGAGUGCUGUACUCUAAGCGCAGUUUCCAAAAGCAGACAUGGAUCCCUCUGCUUUUGUGACCUGUUUAUGAUCAAGUGUUUGUAGUUUAUUAAUCAGUGGAUUUUUGGUCAGAUCAAGGAUUAAUCAUGAGAACUCAUGCUGAUUCAGUUCACGGUUGCCUUGUUUGUUGUUUUAGUUUGGGGUGGUGGUCCACGGUAGUCCUGUUUUCGGCUCUUAUUUUCUUUAGUUUAGGCUUAUUGUAAGUUUUUAGGUAGAAGGAAUCUCUGGGACGACGGCCAACUGCUUGGCUGGCCUGGUAGCUUCCUUUUUAUUUUCUGUUUGGCCGGGACCUCAUUCCUUUUUAUUUAUUUAUUUUUAAUAUUUACUUUGUCUUUUCUUUGAAAAAUUUAAAUAAACUACAUAAAAUUUAACAUGA